GACGAACGCUGGCGGCGUGCCUAAUACAUGCAAGUCGAGCGGAAGUUGGAGAGCUUGCUCUUCAACUUUAGCGGCGGACGGGUGAGUAACACGUGGGCAACCUGCCCUGCAGAUCGGGAUAACUCCGGGAAACCGGUGCUAAUACCGAAUAGUUUUCGCCACCUCCUGGUGGCGUACGGAAAGACGGUUACGGCUGUCACUGCAGGAUGGGCCCGCGGCGCAUUAGCUGGUUGGUGGGGUAACGGCCCACCAAGGCGAUGAUGCGUAGCCGACCGUAGAGGGUGAUCGGACGCACGGGGACUGAGACACGGCACAAACUACUACGGGAAGAAGCAGUAGGGAAUCUUCCGCAAUGGACGAAGGUCUGAUGGAGCAACGCCGCGUGAGUGACGAAGGUUUUCGGAUCGUAAAACUCUGUUGUGAGGGAAGAACAAGUACCACUUAACUACUGGUACCUUGACGGUACCUCACCAGAAAGCCACGGCUAACUACGUGCCAGCCGCCGCCGUAA
rnacentral:rRNA from 1 species